rnacentral:rRNA from 1 species
UACGGGGGGAGCAAGCGUUGUUCGGAUUUACUAGGCGUAAAGGGCGCGUAGGCGGCCACCGCAAGUCGACUGUGAAAUCUCCGGGCUUAACCCGGAAAGGUCAGCCGAUACUGCGGGGCUAGAGUGCAGAAGGGGCAACUGGAAUUCUCGGUGUAGCGGUGAAAUGCGUAGAUAUCGAGAGGAACACCUGCGGCGAAGGCGGGUUGCUGGGCUGACACUGACGCUGAGGCGCGAAAGCUAGGGGAGCGAACGGG